UACGUAGGGUGCGAGCGUUGUCCGGAAUUAUUGGGCGUAAAGAGCUCGUAGGCGGUGUGUCGCGUCGGCCGUGAAAACCUGCAGCUUAACUGUGGGCUUGCGGUCGAUACGGGCAUCACUGGAGUUCGGCAGGGGAGACUGGAAUUCCUGGUGUAGCGGUGAAAUGCGCAGAUAUCAGGAGGAACACCGGUGGCGAAGGCGGGUCUCUGGGGCCGAUACUGACGCUGAGGAGCGAAAGCGUGGGGAGCGAACAGG
rnacentral:rRNA from 1 species